UGGGGAAUAUUGGACAAUGGGGGGAACCCUGAUCCAGCCAUGCCGCGUGUGUGAAGAAGGCCUUAUGGUUGUAAAGCACUUUAAGCGAGGAGGAGGGUACUGGUAUUAAUACUACCAGGUACUGGACGUUACUCGCAGAAUAAGCACCGGCUAACUCUGUGCCAGCAGCCGCGGUAAUACAGAGGGUGCGAGCGUUAAUCGGAUUUACUGGGCGUAAAGCGUGCGUAGGCGGCUAAUUGAGUCGGAUGUGACAUCCCCGAGCUUAACUUGGGAAUUGCAUUCGAUACUGGUUAGCUAGAGUGUGGGAGAGGAUGGUAGGAUUCCAGGUGUAGCGGUGAAAUGCGUAGAGAUCUGGAGGAAUACCGAUGGCGAAGGCAGCCAUCUGGCCUAACACUGACGCUGAGGUACGAAAGCAUGGGGAGCAAACAGG
rnacentral:rRNA from 1 species